AUUGAACGCUGGCGGCAUGCCUUACACAUGCAAGUCGAACGGCAGCACGGGUGCUUGCACCUGGUGGCGAGUGGCGAACGGGUGAGUAAUACAUCGGAACAUGUCCUGUAGUGGGGGAUAGCCCGGCGAAAGCCGGAUUAAUACCGCAUACGAUCUACGGAUGAAAGCGGGGGGCCUUCGGGCCUCGCGCUAUAGGGUUGGCCGAUGGCUGAUUAGCUAGUUGGUGGGGUAAAGGCCUACCAAGGCGACGAUCAGUAGCUGGUCUGAGAGGACGACCAGCCACACUGGGACUGAGACACGGCCCAGACUCCUACGGGAGGCAGCAGUGGGGAAUGUUGGACAAUGGGCGAAAGCCUGAUCCAGCAAUGCCGCGUGUGUGAAGAAGGCCUUCGGGUUGUAAAGCACUUUUGUCCGGAAAGAAAUCCUUGGCUCUAAUACAGUCGGGGGAUGACGGUACCGGAAGAAUAAGCACCGGCUAACUACGUG
rnacentral:rRNA from 1 species